rnacentral:rRNA from 1 species
AGAGUUUGAUCCUGGCUCAGGACGAACGCUGACGGUGUGCUUUAGGCAUGCAAGUCGAACGAGAAAGCCCUUCGGGGUGAGUACAGUGGCGAACGGGUGAGUAACACGUGGGCAACCUGCCCCUCGCAGGGGGAUAACCGGAGGAAACUCCGGCUAAUACCCCGUAAGCUUUCAGGGUCGCAUGGCCCUGCAAGGAAAGGUAGCUUCGGCCAUCCGGCGAGGGAUGGGCCCGCGGUGCAUUAGCUAGUUGGUGGGGUAACGGCCCACCAAGGCGACGAUGCGUAGCUGGUCUGAGAGGAUGAUCAGCCACACUGGGACUGAGACACGGCCCAGACUCCUACGGGAGGCAGCAGCCAGGAAUCUUGGGCAAUGGGCGAAAGCCUGACCCAGCAACACCGUGUGGGCGAUGAAGGCCUUCGGGUCGUAAAGCCCUGUUGAUAGGGACGAAGGGCGAAGGGUUAAUAGCCCCUAGCCUGACGGUACCUUUCGAGGAAGCCCCGGCUAACUACGUGCCAGCAGCCGCGGUAAU